UACGGAGGGUGCGAGCGUUGUCCGGAAUCAUUGGGCGUAAAGGGCGCGUAGGUGGCCCGGUCAGCGUGCGGUGAAAGCUCGGGGCUCAACCCCGAGUCGGCCGUGCGAACUGCUGGGCUGGAGCACUGUAGAGGCAGGCGGAAUUCCGGGUGUAGCGGUGGAAUGCGUAGAGAUCCGGAAGAACACCGGUGGCGAAGGCGAUUAGCUGGGCAGUUGCUGACACUGAGGCGCGACAGCGUGGGGGAGCAAACAGG
rnacentral:rRNA from 1 species